rnacentral:rRNA from 1 species
UGAUUUUUAUUUUAUAUUUAAUUUUAAAUAUUAUUUUGAAUUAUUAUUAUAGAAAUAACUUUAAUUUUAGUAUUUUUUAAAGAAUUAAUUUUUUAUAUUUAUAGUUUAUCUUACUGUAAGGGUUAAUAAAUUAAUUAUUUUUUAAGUAAAUUUGUUUUAUUGUACCUUUUGUAUCAGGGUUUAUUAAAAAUUUUUUAUUUAUAAAUAAAUAUCCCGAAUUUAAAGGCGACAUUUAUAAUUGUUAUUUAUUGUUUUAUAAUUAUUGAUAAAUUAUAAAUUGGUGUUAUAUGCUAUUCAUCUUUAAUUAUCUGGUUUUUUAAUAAUUGAAUUUAAUUCAUAAUUAAUAUUAUUCAAUUUAUAAUUUUAUUUUUAUUGUUAUUUUAAUUUAAGAUUUAAGGGGAUAAGCUCUUAAAUUGUUUCUAUGAUAAAUAUUUAUAUUAAAUUUUUGUAGGAUUAGAAAUUUUCAUCAUUUAUUUUGUUAUAAUUAUGCUUUAUUUAUAAUUUAUUUUAUAUUUAUUUAGAUUUUUAUUAAAAAUUUUUAUUAAAUAUUUUAAUAAAAGAUAUAAUGAUAAAAUUAGUAUAUUUUAUAUUUAAUUUAUAGUAACUCGGCAAUUUUAUUCUUCACCUGUUUAACAAAAACAUGUCCUAAUGAUUAAUUAGUAUUAGGUUUGACCUGCUCAAUGAAUAAUUUUAAAUAGCCGCAGUAUCUUGACUGUGCGAAGGUAGCAUAAUCAUUUGUCUUUUAAUUGAAGGCUGGAAUGAACGGUCGGAUGAAGGAAUAUCUUUCUUUAUAUUAAAUUAUUGAAUUUAAUUUUUUGGUUAAAAAGCUAAAAUUUUUAAAUGGGACGAGAAGACCCUAUAGAAUUUUAUUUUUAUUAGAAAUAUUAAUAUUUAUUGGUUAAUUAUAUAUUUAUUUUUAUUGAAAUUUUGUUGGGGAGACAUUGAGAUUAUUUUAACUCUCAUAUUUAUAUUAUUUAUGAAUAAUUAUAUUUAGGAUCUUAACUUUUUAGAUAUUUAGAUUAAAUUACCUUAGGGAUAACAGCGUAAUUUUUUUGGAGAGUUCUUAUCGAUAAAGGAGUUUGCGACCUCGAUGUUGGAUUAAAAUAAGAUUUAAGUGCAGAAGCUUAAUUUUCUAGGUCUGUUCGACCUUUAAUUUUUUACAUGAUCUGAGUUCAGACCGGCGUGAGCCAGGUCGGUUUCUAUCUUUUUUGUAAAUUAAAUUGUGAGUUAGUACGAAAGGACCAUUUACAACAAAUAUUUUGUUUAAUUAUUGAAUUAUUUUAACUAUUUU